rnacentral:rRNA from 1 species
CCUACGGGAGGCAGCAGUGGGGAAUAUUGCACAAUGGGGGAAACCCUGAUGCAGCGAAGCCGCGUGAGUGAAGAAGGAAUUAGUUAUGUAAAGCUCUAUCAGCAGGGAAGAAAAUGACGGUAACUGAGUAAGAAGCCCCGGCUAACUACGUGCCAGCAGCCGAGGUAAUACGUAGGGGGCAAGCGUUAUCCGGAUUUACUGAGUGUAAAGGGAGCGUAGACGGCAGUGCAAGUCUGGAGUUAAAGGCGGAGGCUCAACCCCCGGACUGCUCUGGAAACUGUACGGCUGGAGUGCAGGAGAGGUAAGUGGAAUUCCUAGUGUAGCGGUGAAAUGCGUAGAUAUUAGGAGGAACACCAGUGGCGAAGGCGGCUGACUGGACUGUAACUGACGUUGAGGCUCGAAAGCGUGGGGAGCAAACAGGAUUAGAUACCCUUGUAGUC